UACGGAGGGUGCGAGCGUUGUCCGGAAUCACUGGGCGUAAAGGGCGCGUAGGCGGCCUGAUAAGUAGGGGGUGAAAUCCUGCGGCUUAACCGCAGGGCUGCCUUCUAAACUGUCAGGCUCGAGCACAGUAGAGGCAGGUGGAAUUCCCGGUGUAGCGGUGGAAUGCGUAGAGAUCGGGAAGAACAUCAGUGGCGAAGGCGGCCUGCUGGGCUGUUGCUGACGCUGAGGCGCGAGCA
rnacentral:rRNA from 1 species